UGAAGUAAUGAUGGCAAAGAGGUCACACCCGUUCCCAUACCGAACACGGAAGUUAAGCUCUUUAGCGCCGAUGGUAGUUGGGGUCGCUGCUGAUAAUUAAUCAGUAGUGGCUUUUU
rnacentral:rRNA from 1 species